GACGAACGCUGGCGGCGUGCUUAACACAUGCCAGUCGAACGGAAAGGCCCUGCUUUUGUGGGGUGCUCGAGUGGCGAACGGGUGAGUAACACGUGAGUAACCUGCCCUUGACUUUGGGAUAACUUCAGGAGACUGGGGCUAAUACCGGAUAGGAUCUCCUGCUGCGUGGUGGGGGUUGGUAAGUUUCGGCGGUUGGGGAUGGACUGGCGGCUUAUGAGCUUGUUGGUGGGGUAGUGGCGUACCAAGGCUUUGACGGGUAGCCGGCCUGAGAGGGGGGACGGCGACAUGGGGACUAAGAGAGGGCCCAGACGGCUACGGGAGGUAGCAGGGGGGAGUAUGGCACAACGGGCGGAAGCCUGAGGCAGCAACGCCGGGAGCGGGAUGACGGCUUUCGGGUUGUAAACCGAUUUCGCCUGUGACGAAGCGUGAGUGACGGUAAUGGGUAAAGAAGCACCGGCUAACUACGUG
rnacentral:rRNA from 1 species